AGCAGUGUGUGUGUGUGUGUAUUUAGCAGUCUGUGUGUGUAUUCAGCAGUCUGCUAAAUACAGACAGACUGCUAAGUACACAGACAGACUG